rnacentral:rRNA from 1 species
UACGGAGGAUGCGAGCGUUAUCCGGAUUUAUUGGGUUUAAAGGGUGCGCAGGCGGCGUGUCAAGUCAGCGGUAAAAUGUCGGGGCUCAACCCCGGCCGGCCGUUGAAACUGGCGUGCUCGAGUUGGAGAGAAGUAUGCGGAAUUCGUGGUGUAGCGGUGAAAUGCAUAGAUAUCACGAAGAACCCCGAUUGCGAAGGCAGCAUACCGGCUCCACACUGACGCUGAGGCACGAAGGCGUGGGUAUCGAACAGG